GAGAGGUAAGAUGGAGUUAAAGGCCAUUUACUGUGUUAUACAGAGUCAUAUGAUUUUUGCCCAUCAAACCACUAGCAUGUACUUUGCUCAUACAAAUAAAAAGUAAAUAUCACAAAAGAAGACGGGCAACAUAAGCUGGAUUGACUGUUGAGUGGGUGUGCUAGGGCCAGAGAAGUGGGGGAAGCCUGCAUGACUAGUUUCCACAGGCUAGGAAAGGACAAGUUGAUUAUACAAAGGGAACAGGUGUCUGGUGCUAAGGUACAGCCAGAAAAUAAAGAUACUGUGCACAUUAGACGUGCUGAACUUGAGGGUGGAUGCAGCCACAGUAUGACUAGCUCUGAGUAGUAUGUUCCCUGUCACUUGGCCUUUCAUAUUUUUACUGAGUUUAGUCGUUGAAACUAGUUUUUCCAUUCACGGGCGGUUUGUUUUGUAGAACCCUGGGAAUGACAUCUUUUAGUCUGUGACCUGAAACUAAAUUAAGAAGUCUUAUUUCACACGUCCAAAAAUUCUGGAGUCCUAGUGAUUAUUCAGAUCAAAUCACAUGCUUCCCUCUGUGGACAGAGGUUGGCUCUGCUCCUAGAAGAAGGUGCUUAGCAGCCAAAACGACCGUGCCUCCUCUAAACCUUUGCUUUUUAAAUUCCUUUCUUUCCAGGUGCACCUCCAAAUGUACCCUGGUGUCAACAUUCACACUCAGUCAACAGAGUCCAUCUAACCUUCCGGAACCCAGGCUUUACCACGAUUGUCCCCGAGUUUUUCACAUCAUGAGUGGACGCAGUAAGAGCCUCAUCAGCGGCUAAAUGAAUGUGGAUAGCAUGCUCUUGGACUUCUGAGUCUCAAAACCGCUCAUAUUCAGUAUAUACGCUAAGAAGGAUGAUGAAGGGAUACAGAGAGAUACUUGUCCAUGAAGCUUCAUGAGUGAAUUUAUUUUUAAGACCCUGCUACAAGGUUGUUUAAUCUCUUUUCCUGCAAUCAAGGCAGUUCAGAGAAGCUAAGCCUCAGUUGCCAUAAAUUGAGAAGCCUGCUUGGUCGUGUACUCUGGUUAUGAUGUUCUGCCUCACAACUGUCCUGGAGCGAAGGGGCCAGUGGAACACAUGCUCAAAAUGCUGAAGCCAUGGGUCAAAGUCAUCCUUUGCACUUUUAAGUUGAUUAUUUCAUGCAUUUUAUCACAGUAACAGAUCGCUGACUAAUGCAUAGAUACCAUCAAGAAUUUUUUUCUAAGCUGCAUACCUGACACUUUUUCUGAGUCAAUGGAGAAAGUAUGUUUGAACUGCUAUACCUUAAAUGAUGCCAUAAUCUUUUAUUACUUGUUCUUAAAACAACUCCUUUUCUCAAGCACUUUCUAUCUCUUAAUGUUCCACACUACAGAAGUCAGUGAUACAGACCUUGAUUUAUUCGAAGACAGCUGAAAGUCAAAUAGGAUAGCGGGUUUAUUUUAUCUAUCUCUAGGCACAUGAUUCUUUACAUCUCAGCCCUUCAGGGCUCUCUUUCUGAUUUGCAAAUGGCUACCUUUGUCUGCAACCUCUCCUGGUAUCUUCCGUGAGUGUGCUCAGCGUGUCCAGGAAGGCAGCAUUCUGCUGCCUCUUCUUAUUAGCUAUGAAGCUUAUCAGGUCACAGUCCCACAGUGACGAACUAUUUAAAUUUAAUUACUUCUUCCUUCAAAAUAAAAUUCAGUCACAUUAGUGUAAAAGGCUUCAGUGAAUUUGAGGUGAAGGGAAGCAAUUCAUUUCAUAGCAUUACCAUACUAGAAUAAUUUUUUAAAUAAUUCAACUUGAUAGCUUGGAAAUUACUUUUUUUUGACAUCUGCAACAGAAAGUAGUAUUUAUUAACUUACAAUCUAUUUUUAAUAUGUUCGUGUAAGGAUUGUUACAAUGAUGCAAGAGAAGAUGCUUAUCUGUUGUUUGGAAUUAUAGCCACUCACUUGGCACUGUCUUCACAGGAAUUGAUAUUAUCUGGCCAGAUUUCGUUUUCCCUUGAACUUUUAAUGUAAUCAUAUUAAGAAUUUUAGACUUGCUCAUGAAUUCAAAAAACUAUCCAGUCAAACUCCUCUAUUAAAAAUGAAGAAAUUCAGUUCCCAAGUGCCCGCGCUGCUCUCAUUUUUAAGGAAGACAUGGCAAAGCUUUUUCACAAAUUCUUUCCCUUUUUCUUUUGAUUUUAACCCAAAGUCUUUCCGUCUCCUCAACCAUAUAUUUUCAGCACACCAAAUUACUUGCCAAUUACCUUUCAGGGUCCUGGCUGAAGACUCUAUAGCUCUGUUGGCCUUCACGCUGCCAAACAGAGCUGAUCAGUCCUCUCUUUUUGUGUCUCUUUAUAAUUGUUUCUAAAUACAUAACACUUCUCAAUUUCUAUCGCAGUAACAUGUUCAUUUAUGUUCUCCUUUAAACCCAGAGCUUCUUGGAGGCAGCAAACGGACACAUGGCAAAGCACUGGUGCUGGCCGAUGACCCAGGGCUGUGAUAAAUGAUUUUCAGACUUUAUUUGGGCAGAUAUGGGUACACAUGAUGUGUCAACAGCAGGAACCUGGGUUUCCAGACUCUUAGUCACUGCUCUUUCUGCUCUGUGAUUACACUUGAAUUUAGUGCUAGUUUUGGAGUUUAAGAAAGUCUUCUGGAAUAAAGCAUUCAUGAGUGUAAUAUGUCCCCAAAAAAGCCCAAUACCAGUCUUUCUCUGAAUCAGAUUCCACAUCUACAUUUACUGUCUGGCACCUACAAGUUUCAAAUACACCACACCCAAGAGAAAACUGUUAUUUGCCAUGGGGUAGGUUUAUCCCAACUAUUCAGCACAAAAGUCAAGUUUGACUUUCAUUGUUAUGACACUGGCUUGCAAAACAACUAUGCUGCCUGAGCGUGGUCACGUUGCGGGAUGCUUUAAAGAGAAACCACUGAUGACCCAAACAGAUUAGAGGUCACAAGGGUAAGCCUGGGGCAAUUGUUCUCUGAACUCUGGCAUUUUCUUAAGGGUUUCUGCUAUUUUAUUGCUUUUGGCUUUUUGCUUACGGUUUAGCAAAUAUUGUGAAAUUGUGACUAAAGUUGGGAGAAGACAAACUGAUGCUCUUUUCACAAAUUAAAUCACAAUACACUUUGUCUGUAGAAUUUUUUUCUUGACGAAUUUAAUAGUUGGGAUACUACUGUUUGCAACAAAUAAAUUGAAUUUUUAGGAAGAUUGAGAUGAAUGAAAAAUUCUAAUGUUUUUGAAUGUUGUGUGAUUAUUCAGAUUAAAAACAUGAAAAAUUUUGUAAUACCCUGGACAUGUAACAAUUCUUGGAAUAAAUGAGAAGAA